AUGACUUUUAUUGAUGUACUCCCUUCACCGCUUAACUCCUUUCCUCGUAAGCCCCAUAGAGGUGACAGGGCAGGACACCACCCGGCACCCACCGGGAGCAGGGCAGCCCAGGCCCCUCGUGGUGAGGUCUCCCGACCCCAAACACUUGCGGUGCCCCCCCCCUUUAGCCCCCAAAACUUCUCCCGGGCGUCUCCCCGGGCUGAGGAAGCCGGCGACCCCUCCUCGCCGCCUUUGGGGCGCUCGCCAGGCGCCUCCGGGUUGCUGGGGCUGCCCCCUCCUCUCCUCACAGCGCCAGCUCGGGCUCACCUCAGGGACGAGGGGGAGCACGAGCCCCUCCUCACCCCAAAACGACGCCCCUCGGCACCCCACCAAGGGCAUGGCGCUCCCCGCUCCCCCUCCCCGGGGGCCGCCGUAUGGCCGCUGCUCCCUUCCCCCGCGGCUCCUCUCCAUCCCACUCCCUGCCCACCCGGCACCCCAGGGUGCUGCCCGGCUCCCUCACCGCUCUCUCCUCGGGGCCGUUUCUCCUCGUCGCUGCCUCCGUUAACGCCGCUGCCCCCCGCUCGGGGCUCCGCUCGCCGCCCUUCAGCCCAGGCCCUGCUCCCUGCGGAGCCCCUCCGCUGCGGCUCCGCUGCACCUGCGGCGGGGCCGGGAGGAGGAGAGGGCACCCCCGCUCCGUCCUCCCUCAACUUCUCAUCCCUUCCCUCCGCCUCGCCGCCCCGGCUCUGCCCUCGACCCUCCCGGAGCCAGCAGCGGCCCCUGGGCCAGACGAGCGGAGGCUCCCCCCUGGCCGGCACCGGCGAGCCGCUGUCCGGGUCCCCGGGCGCCCUGCCGCCCCAUGCACUGCCCCAGCGCCCCGGACGGUGGGCAGGGGCUCCCGGCGGGGCAGGUGCCCUGGGCACGCCUCUGGCGGGUGGGACCGGGGCUGAGCUCCACCAAUCGGCCCCGCUGCGGCGGGAGGAGGAGGAGGAGGAGGAAGGAGCGGCCCAGGUAACUCCCCACAGCCUUUGGGGGCCCCUCGCCGCCUCACGGGGCCACCAGGUCCUGCCGCAACGCCUGGCUCCCUUCGCGGUGGUAGUGUGA
rnacentral:lncRNA from 1 species